rnacentral:tRNA from 1 species
GCUCCCAUCGUCUAGCGGCCUAGGACACCAGGUUUUCAACCUGGCGGCACGGGUUCAAAUCCCGUUGGGAGUGCCA